rnacentral:misc_RNA from 1 species
AUGAAGAACGUAGCAAAAUGCGAUAAGUAAUGUGAAUUGCAGAAUUCAGUGAAUCAUCGAAUCUUUGAACGCACAUUGCGCCCGCCAGUAUUCUGGCGGGCAUGCCUGUUCGAGCGUCAUUUCAACCCUCAAGCCCUCGGGUUUGGUGUUGGGGAUCGGCGAGCCUUUCUGGCAAGCCGGCCCCGAAAUCUAGUGGCGGUCUCGCUGCAGCCUCCAUUGCGUAGUAGUAAAACCCUCGCAACUGGAACGCGGCGCGGCCAAGCCGUUAAACCCCCAACUUCUGAAUGUUGACCUCGGAUCAGGUAGGAAUACCCGCUGAACUUAAGCAUAUCAAUAAGCGGAGGA